rnacentral:rRNA from 1 species
AUACGUAGGGGGCGAGCGUUGUCCGGAAUGAUUGGGCGUAAAGGGCGCGUAGGCGGCCCGGUAAGUCUGGAGUGAAAGUCCUGUUUUUAAGAUGGGAAUUACUUUGGAUACUGUCGGGCUUGAGUGCAGGAGAGGUAAGUGGAAUUCCCAGUGUAGCGGUGAAAUGCGUAGAGAUUGGGAGGAACACCAGUGGCGAAGGCGACUUACUGGACUGUAACUGACGCUGAGGCGCGAAAGUGUGGGGAGCAAACAGGAUUAGAUACCCUGGUAGUCCACACUGUAAACGAUGAAUACUAGGUGUGCGGGGACUGACCCCCUGCGUGCCGGCGUUAACACAAUAAGUAUUCCACCUGGGGAGUACGAUCGCAAGGUUGAAACUCAAAUGAAUUGACGGGG